rnacentral:rRNA from 1 species
UACGUAGGUGGCAAGCGUUAUCCGGAUUUACUGGGUGUAAAGGGUGUGUAGGCGGGAUGGCAAGUCAGAUGUGAAAACUAUGGGCUCAACUCAUAGCCUGCAUUUGAAACUGUCGUUCUUGAGGGUCGGAGAGGUAACUGGAAUUCCAUGUGUAGCGGUGAAAUGCGUAGAUAUAUGGAGGAACACCAGUGGCGAAGGCGGGUUACUGGACGAUACCUGACGCUGAGACACGAAAGUGUGGGGAGCAAACAGGAUUAGAUACCCCGUA